GAUGAACGCUGGCGGCGUGCCUAAUACAUGCAAGUCGAGCGAACAGAUGAGGAGCUUGCUCCUCUGACGUUAGCGGCGGACGGGUGAGUAACACGUGGAUAACCUACCUAUAAGAUUGGGAUAACUUCGGGAAACCGGAGCUAAUACCGGAUAAUAUAUUGAACCGCAUGGUUCAAUAGUGAAAGACGGUUUUGCUGUCACUUAUAGAUGGAUCCGCGCCGCAUUAGCUAGUUGGUAAGGUAACGGCUUACCAAGGCAACGAUGCGUAGCCGACCUGAGAGGGUGAUCGGCCACACUGGAACUGAGACACGGUCCAGACUCCUACGGGAGGCAGCAGUAGGGACUCUUCCGCAAUGGGCGAAAGCCUGACGGAGCAACGCCGCGUGAGUGAUGAAGGUCUUCGGAUCGUAAAACUCUGUUAUUAGGGAAGAACAAAUGUGUAAGUAACUAUGCACGUCUUGACGGUACCUAAUCAGAAAGCCACGGCUAACUACGUG
rnacentral:rRNA from 1 species